GAUCAUGGCUCAGGACGAACGCUGGCGGCGUGCCUAAUACAUGCAAGUCGUACGCACCGAGGAAGAACUUGUUCUUCCAACGUGAGUGGCGAACGGGUGAGUAACACGUGGGAAACCUACCCUUUAGCGGGGGAUAACAGUCGGAAACGACUGCUAAUACCGCAUAGAUCUUUUCUUCGCCUGGAGGAAAGCGGAAAGGUGGCUUUAUGCUACCACUAAAGGAUGGUCCCGCGGUGCAUUAGCUAGAUGGUAAGGUAACGG
rnacentral:rRNA from 1 species